UAACACAUGCAAGUCGAGCGGUAAGGCCCUUCGGGGUACACGAGCGGCGAACGGGUGAGUAACACGUGGGUGACCUGCCCUCCACUCUGGGAUAAGCCUGGGAAACCGGGUCUAAUACCGGAUAGGACUCCUGGAUGCAUGUCUAGGGGUGGAAAGUUUUUUCGGUGGGGGAUGGGCCCGCGGUCUAUCAGCUUGUUGGUGGGGUGAUGGCCUACCAAGGCGACGACGGAUAGCCGGCCUGAGAGGGUGAUCGGCCACACUGGGACUGAGACACGGCCCAGACUCCUACGGGAGGCAGCAGUGGGGAAUCUUGCGCAAUGGGCGGAAGCCUGACGCAGCAACGCCGCGUGGGGGAUGACGGCCUUCGGGUUGUAAACCUCUUUCGCGAUCGACGAAGGUCCACUUUUUGGUGGGCUGACGGUAGGUCGAGAAGAAGCACCGGCCAACUACGUGCCAGCAGCCGCGGUAAUACGUAGGGUGCGAGCGUUGUCCGGAAUUAUUGGGCGUAAAGAGCUCGUAGGCGGUGUGUCGCGUCGGCCGUGAAAACCUGGGGCUCAACUCUGGGCGUGCGGUCGAUACGGGCAUCACUUGAGUUCGGCAGGGGAGACUGGAAUUCCUGGUGUAGCGGUGAAAUGCGCAGAUAUCAGGAGGAACACCGGUGGCGAAGGCGGGUCUCUGGGCCGAUACUGACGCUGAGGAGCGAAAGCAUGGGUAGCGAACAGGAUUAGAUACCCUGGUAGUCCAUGCCGU
rnacentral:rRNA from 1 species